CAGCCGUAAACAAUGUGCGUUAGGUGUGUCGGUAACCACGUGUUACUGAUGCGCCGAAGAGAAAUCGUGAAACGCACCACCUGGGAAGUACGGUCGCAAGGCUGAAACUUAAAGGAAUUGGCGGGGGAGCACCACAACAGGUGGAGCCUGCGGUUUAAUUGGAUUCAACACCGUAAAACUCACCAGGGAAGACUGUUACAUGAAGGCCGAGAUGAAGACUCUGCUAGAUUUUCAGAGAGGUGGUGCAUGGCGUAGUCGUGU
rnacentral:rRNA from 1 species